GACGAACGCUGGCGGCGUGCUUAACACAUGCAAGUCGAACGGAAAGGCCCUGCUUUUGUGGGGUGCUCGAGUGGCGAACGGGUGAGUAACACGUGAGUAACCUGCCCUUGACUUUGGGAUAACUUCAGGAAACUGGGGCUAAUACCGGAUAGGAGCUCCUGCUGCAUGGUGGGGGUUGGAAAGUUUCGGCGGUUGGGGAUGGACUCGCGGCUUAUCAGCUUGUUGGUGGGGUAGUGGCUUACCAAGGCUUUGACGGGUAGCCGGCCUGAGAGGGUGACCGGCCUCCUUGGGGCUGAGGGCCGGCCAAGCACCCUACGGGAGACAGUGGUGGGUAUUAUGGCACACAGGGGGAGGGCCAGUGCGGACAGCGCCGUGAGGGGAAGAAGGGCCUUGGGUUUGACACCCCUUUUCCCCUGUGCCAAGCUGGUGGUGAGGGUAAUGGUUAAGAAAGCCCCGGCAAGCUCCGCC
rnacentral:rRNA from 1 species